GGCGCCGUGGCCGAGUGGUUAGGCGGAGCUCUGCAAAAGCUUAGACACCGGUUCGAGUCCGGUCGGUGCCUCCA
rnacentral:tRNA from 1 species